rnacentral:rRNA from 1 species
AGUGAACGCUGGCGGUAGGCCUAACACAUGCAAGUCGAACGGCAGCACAGUAAGAGCUUGCUCUUACGGGUGGCGAGUGGCGGACGGGUGAGGAAUACAUCGGAAUCUACUUUUUCGUGGGGGAUAACGUAGGGAAACUUACGCUAAUACCGCAUACGACCUACGGGUGAAAGCAGGGGAUCUUCGGACCUUGCGCGAGUGAAUGAGCCGAUGUCGGAUUAGCUAGUUGGCGGGGUAAAGGCCCACCAAGGCGACGAUCCGUAGCUGGUCUGAGAGGAUGAUCAGCCACACUGGAACUGAGACACGGUCCAGACUCCUACGGGAGGCAGCAGUGGGGAAUAUUGGACAAUGGGCGCAAGCCUGAUCCAGCCGUACCGCGUGGGUGAAGAAGGCCUUCGGGUUGUAAAGCCCUUUUGUUGGGAAAGAAAAGCAGCAGGUUAAUACCCCGCUGUUCUGACGGUACCCAAAGAAUAAGCACCGGCUAACUUCGUG